CCUACGGGAGGCAGCAGCAAGGGAUUUUGCGCAAUGGGCGAAAGCCUGACGCAGCAACGCCGCGUGGGUGAAGAAGGCCUUCGGGUUGUAAAGCCCUUUUCUCGGGGAAGAUAAUGACGGUACCCGAGGAAUAAGCCUCGGCUAACUACGUGCCAGCAGCCGCGGUAAGACGUAGGAGGCGAGCGUUAUCCGGAAUCACUGGGCGUAAAGAGCGCGUGGGCGGUUCUCUAAGUCAGGUGUGAAAUCUCCCGGCUCAACUGGGAGGGUGCACUGGAGACUGGAGGGCCUGAGGGCAGCAGAGGGGGGUGGAACUCCCGGUGUAGUGGUGAAAUGCGUAGAUAUCGGGAGGAACACCAGUGGCGAAGGCGGCCCCCUGGGCUGUACCUGACGCUGAGGCGCGAAAGCGUGGGGAGCAAACAGGAUUAGAUCCCCCUGUAGU
rnacentral:rRNA from 1 species